CAUUUUGGCAGGCUGUUAACUGAAUAAAAUCCUAUGGAAAAGAAUGAGUAGGCCCUUGUAGUAUUCCUGAAAGCUGGAGACCUCAGGUAUAUAUAAGAAGCUCCUUUUCAUCCUUGGUACAGCUUUGAUUAAACUGCAAAAGAAGCUGGAUAUGUUGAUAGUGCAAGUACCAUCCUUCAGACCAGAGCUAGAUAUAUGAAAAAAAGAAGAGUCAGUUAAACAGGGAAUACCAGCCAGAGUAUAGCAGUGGUGACAUUAUUGCCUAUCAGCAGUGACAUUAAAAACUUGCCUAUUGCCUUAGAAAACUACAGCCCCCCUGUAAGUUGAUUCAUGCUGGCAGAUCUCUGAGCUUAUGAGGAGCUCUACUGACCAGCUCUCUUGCUUAUCUAAUGGGACCCAACACUGGCACACAGGUCAGAGAGGCAAUGUGGUCUAGUGGAUAGAGCAUUAGACUGACACUUGGAUUCAGUUCCCAGCUCUGUCACUCACUUGUAUGACCUGGAGCAAGUUCUCUCUGUGCCUUGAUUUCCACAUCUGCAAAGUGGGGAUAAUGAUACUGACUUUCUUUAUAAAACACUUUGUGAUCUAUAGGGGAGAGAAGCUAUAAUCAGGACUAGAUAUUAUUAUUAUUUAUUAUUACAGGUCCACCUACUGAAAUCAGCGCACAGUAUUAGGGCUUAGCCUCAGUAAUCCCUAUAGUGACUCUAAGGAAGUUCAAGGGAGUAUUACAGAUACUGAGGAAAUAUGAUUUGUUUGUCUUACUUAAAAUAGGCACAUUUCUAAAGGGCACCACAGUACAAAAGCCCACAUAUGGGAAGAAAAAGCACAUGUUCAAACACUAACUCGAGUAAGGCAUUAUAUACUUGAGCAAACCAAAGUAGAUAUUUAAAUUCACAACCCACACAGACAUCUGGUAACUGGACCAUGCAACUGGCUGAUAUUCACGCUCCUAUUCUCCCACAUUUCUCAGGUGUUGCUUAUUUGUAUUUUGCAGUUCCAGCUUGCCUUUUCAAUAUUGCGCCUACCCAAACUGACAAUAUUGUCAGAGACAAUUAUGUCAUUAUACUGCAGACCAUUUUUUCCCCCUUAAAGAGAAAAUUAAUUAAAUAGAUCUUGCUGACGAA